rnacentral:rRNA from 1 species
AACGCGAAGAACCUUACCUACCCUUGACAUCCUAAGAAUCCUGCAGAGAUGCGGGAGUGCCGAAAGGAACUUAGAGACAGGUGCUGCAUGGCUGUCGUCAGCUCGUGUUGUGAGAUGUUGGGUUAAGUCCCGUAACGAGCGCAACCCUUAUCCUUAGUUGCCAUCACGUCAUGGUGGGGACUCUAAGGAGACUGCUGGUGAUGAACCGGAGGAAGGCGGGGACGACGUCAAGUCAUCAUGGCCUUUAUGGGUAGGGCUACACACGUGCUACAAUGGGGCGUACAGAGGGUAGCGAAGCUGCGAAGCGGAGCCAAUCUCAGAAAGCGUCUCGUAGUCCGGAUCGGAGUCUGCAACUCGACUCCGUGAAGUCGGAAUCGCUAGUAAUCGCGAAUCAGAACGUCGCGGUGAAUACGUUCCCGGGCCUUGUACACACCGUAGUAC